rnacentral:rRNA from 1 species
UACGUAGGGUGCGAGCGUUAAUCGGAAUUACUGGGCGUAAAGCGUGCGCAGGCGGUUCGUCGUGUCUCGUGUGAAAAGCCCCGGGCUCAACCUGGGAAUGGCAUGGGAAACUGGCGAACUGGAGUGUGGCAGAGGGGGGUGGAAUUCCGCGUGUAGCAGUGAAAUGCGUAGAGAUGCGGAGGAACACCGAUGGCGAAGGCAGCCCCCUGGGCUGACACUGACGCUCAGCACGAAAGCGUGGGGAGCAAACAGG